GACGAACGCUGGCGGCGUGCUUAACACAUGCAAGUCGAACGGAAAGGCGCUGCCUUUGUGGGGUGCUCGAGUGGCGAACGGGGGAGUAACACGUGAGUAACCUGUCCCUGACUUUGUGAUAACUUCUGGAAACUGGGGCUCAUACCGGAUAGGAUCUUCUGCUGCAUGGUGGGGGUUGGAAAGUUUCGGCGGUUCGGGAUGGUCUCGCGGCUUAUCCGCUUCUUUGUGGGGUAGUUGCGUACCAGGCCUAUGACGGGUAGGCGGCCUGGGAGGGUGACCGGGCACAUUGGGACUGAGGUACGGACCAGACUGCUACGGGAGGCAGCAGUGGGGAAUAUUGCACAAUGGGCGGAAGCCUGAUGCAGCAACGCCGCGUGCGGGAUGCCGGCCUUCGGGUUGUAAACCGCUUUCGCCUGUGACGAAGCGUGAGUGACGGUAAUGGGUAAAGAAGCACCGGCUAACUACGUG
rnacentral:rRNA from 1 species